CCUACGGGAGGCAGCAGUGGGGGAUAUUGCACAAUGGGGGGAACCCUGAUGCAGCGACGCCGCGUGAGCGAAGAAGUACCUCGGUAUGUAAAGCUCUAUCAGCAGGGAAGAAAAUGACGGUACCUGACUAAGAAGCCCCGGCUAAAUACGUGCCAGCAGCCGCGGUAAUACGUAUGGGGCAAGCGUUAUCCGGAUUUACUGGGUGUAAAGGGAGCGCAGGCGGCCUGCCAAGUCUGGUGUGAAAACCCGGGGCCCAACCCCGGGCCUGCAUUGGAAACUGGCGGGCUGGAGUGUCGGAGGGGCAGGCGGAAUUCCUAGUGUAGCGGUGAAAUGCGUAGAUAUUAGGAGGAACACCGGUGGCGAAGGCGGCCUGCUGGACGAUGACUGACGCUGAGGCUCGAAAGCGUGGGGAGCAAACAGGAUUAGAUACCCGAGUAG
rnacentral:rRNA from 1 species